GGUUGUAGCAAUACAGCAGUGGCAGACGGGUGAGUAACGCGUGGGAACCUUCCUCGGGGUACGGAACAACGCAGGGAAACUUGCGCUAAUACCGUAUACGUCCGUGAGGAGAAAGAUUUAUCGCCCUGAGACGGGCCCGCGUCGGAUUAGCUAGUUGGUGGGGUAACGGCCUACCAAGGCGACGAUCCGUAGCUGAUCUUAGAGGAUGAUCAGCCACACUGGGACUGAGACACGGCCCAGACUCCUACGGGAGGCAGCAGUGGGGAAUCUUGGACAAUGGGCGCAAGCCUGAUCCAGCCAUGCCGCGUGAGUGAAGAAGGUCUUCGGAUUGUAAAGCUCUUUUGCCAGGGACGAUAAUGACGGUACCUGGAGAAUAAGCCCCGGCAAACUUCGUGCCAGCAGCCGCGGUAAUACGAA
rnacentral:rRNA from 1 species